UACGUAGGGGGCAAGCGUUGUCCGGAUUUAUUGGGCGUAAAGAGCGUGUAGGCGGCUAGGUAGGUCCGUUGUGAAAACUCGAGGCUCAACCUCGAGACGCCGAUGGAAACCAUCUAGCUAGAGUCCGGAAGAGGAGAGUGGAAUUCCUGGUGUAGCGGUGAAAUGCGCAGAUAUUAGGAAGAACACCGGUGGCGAAGGCGGCCCACUGGAUCGGUACUGACGCUGAGGUGCGAAAGCGUGGGGAGCAAACAGG
rnacentral:rRNA from 1 species